AUCUCACACACACACACACACACACACACACACACACACACACACACACACACACACACACACACACACACACACACACACACACACACACACACACACACACACACACACACAGAGAGAAGUCAGAUUCUGAAAGAGAACUUCGCAACGUGUGGGACUCUGCACCUGUACUUUAACUACUAACUAUACCAGUAACUCACCCCAGGUGUACUCCUCUAACUACACUAGUAACUCACCCCAGGUGUACUCCUCUAACUACACUAGUAACUCACCCCAGGUGUACUCCUCUAACUACACUAGUAACUCACCCCAGGUGUACUCCUCUAACUACACUAGUAACUCACCCCAGGUGUACUCCUCUAACUACUAACUACACUAGUAACUCACCCCAGGUGUAGUCCUCUAACUACACUAGUAACUCACCCCAGGUGUACUCCUCUAACUACACUAGUAACUCACCCCAGGUGUACUCCUCUAACUACACUAGUAACUCACCCCAGGUGUACUCCUCUAACUACACUAGUAACUCACCCCAGGUGUACUCCUCUAACUACACUAGUAACUCACCCCAGGUGUACUCCUCUAACUACACUAGUAACUCACCCCAGGUGUACUCCUCUAACUACACUAGUAACUCACCCCAGGUGUACUCCUCUAACUACACUAGUAACUCACCCCAGGUGUACUCCUCUAACUACACUAGU